UACGUAGGGUCCAAGCGUUGUCCGGAUUUAUUGGGCGUAAAGAGCUCGUAGGCGGCUUAGUAAGUCGGAUGUGAAAACUCGGGGCUCAACCCCGAGACGCCAUCCGAUACUGCUGUGGCUUGAGUCUGGUAGGGGAACACGGAAUUCCUGGUGUAGCGGUGAAAUGCGCAGAUAUCAGGAGGAACACCGAUGGCGAAGGCAGCUCGCUGGGACGGUACUGACGCUGAGACGCGAAAGCGUGGGGAGCAAACAGG
rnacentral:rRNA from 1 species